rnacentral:rRNA from 1 species
CCUACGGGAGGCUGCAGUGGGGAAUAUUGGACAAUGGGCGAAAGCCUGAUCCAGCCAUGCCGCGUGUGUGAAGAAGGCCUUCGGGUUGUAAAGCACUUUCAGUGGGGAAGAAAGCCUUGGGGCUAAUACCCUCGAGGAAGGACAUCACCCACAGAAGAAGCACCGGCUAACUCCGUGCCAGCAGCCGCGGUAAUACGGAGGGUGCGAGCGUUAAUCGGAAUUACUGGGCGUAAAGCGCGCGUAGGCGGUCUGAUAAGCCGGUUGUGAAAGCCCCGGGCUCAACCUGGGAACGGCAUCCGGAACUGUCAGGCUAGAGUGCAGGAGAGGAAGGUAGAAUUCCCGGUGUAGCGGUGAAAUGCGUAGAGAUCGGGAGGAAUACCAGUGGCGAAGGCGGCCUUCUGGACUGACACUGACGCUGAGGUGCGAAAGUGUGGGUAGCAAACAGGAUUAGAUACCCUUGUAGUC